rnacentral:rRNA from 1 species
CCUACGGGAGGCUGCAGUAGGGAAUAUUGCUCAAUGGGGGAAACCCUGAAGCAGCAACGCCGCGUGGAGGAUGAAGGUUUUCGGAUUGUAAACUCCUGUUGUUAGAGAAGAUAAUUACGGUAUCUAACGAAUCAGCACCGGCUAACUCCGUUCCAGCCGCCGCGGUAAUACGGAGGGUGCAAGCGUUAUUCGGAAUCACUGGGCGUAAAGAGGGCGUAGGCGGGAUAGCAAGUCAGAGGUGAAAUCCUAUGGCUUAACCAGAGAACUGCAGUUGAAACUGUUAUUCUAGAGUAUGGGAGAGGUAGGUGGAAUUCGUGGUGUAGGGGUAAAAUGCGUAGAGAUCAAGAGGAAUACUCAUUGCGAAGGCGACCUGCUAGAACAUAACUGACGCUGAGGCGCGAAAGCGUGGGGAGCAAACAGGAUUAGAUACCCUAGUAGUC